GUGCUCGAUUUGGUGGCACAUAUACUAAAAUUGGAAUGAUACUAAGAAGAUUAGCAUGGCCCCUGUGCAAAGAUGACAUGCAAAUUUGUGAAGCACUCAUUUGUUAA
rnacentral:snRNA from 1 species